rnacentral:rRNA from 1 species
ACUCCUACGGGAGGCAGCAGUGGGGAAUAUUGGACAAUGGGCGCAAGCCUGAUCCAGCCAUGCCGCGUGAGUGAUGAAGGCCCUAGGGUUGUAAAGCUCUUUCACCGGUGAAGAUAAUGACGGUAACCGGAGAAGAAGCCCCGGCUAACUUCGUGCCAGCAGCCGCGGUAAUACGAAGGGGGCUAGCGUUGUUCGGAUUUACUGGGCGUAAAGCGCACGUAGGCGGACUAUUAAGUCAGGGGUGAAAUCCCGGGGCUCAACCCCGGAACUGCCUUUGAUACUGGUAGUCUUGAGUUCGAGAGAGGUAAGUGGAAUUCCGAGUGUAGAGGUGAAAUUCGUAGAUAUUCGGAGGAACACCAGUGGCGAAGGCGGCUCACUGGCUCGAUACUGACGCUGAGGUGCGAAAGCGUGGGGAGCAAACAGGAUUAGAAACCCCGUAGUCCCA